rnacentral:rRNA from 1 species
UACAGAGGGGGCAAGCGUUAUUCGGAAUUAUUGGGCGUAAAGGGCGCGUAGGCGGCCUGGCAAGUGGAAGGUGAAAUCCCUCGGCUUAACCGAGGAACUGCCUUCCAAACUGCUUGGCUUGAGUCCGGGAGAGGUGAGUGGAAUUCCCAGUGUAGCGGUGAAAUGCGUAGAUAUCGGGAGGAACACCUGUGGCGAAAGCGGCGCACUGGACCACAUCUGACGCUGAGGCGCGAAAGCUAGGGGAGCAAACAGG